GCAGACAUCGGGGAGGGUAGAGCCGAGGGGAAUGCACAGGAGAAGUACUAGGGUAACCUUAGCCACAGAAAGAGACAGAAGGAGGGGGACAAACACGGCGCUGCUCAGCACAGUGCGCGACACACAGGCCUGGAGAAGAGCUUAGCACAGAACAAGAGUUCAGUGAAUAUGAAAUUGUUUGCCUGAAUGAAUGGAAAUCUUCAGAGUUGUCUUAUAAGAGGGUACUACGAUCAUCCCCAUCUUGCAGAAAAGGCAACUGAGGCUGAGAAGAGGCCAGGAGCCUCGACGAAAGGCACACAGGAAGGGCAGAGCUGGGACUCUAACCCUGAACAUUUGAGUAAAAUCUAUGAUGUUCUUCUGUUCCACAACCACCUCAUCUCACUCAUCUGACUUCCCUUGUGCUGAAUAUCUUGUUGGAAACAGAAGGCCCCUUCAACAAUGAAAACUUGCUGCCCUUCUUGUGUUUGAAGAAAUGUCUCCCGAAUAUUUGUAUUCAUGAU